rnacentral:rRNA from 1 species
CAGCAGUCGCCGCGGUAAUACAGAGGGUGCGAGCGUUAAUCGGAUUUACUGGGCGUAAAGCGUGCGUAGGCGGCUUCUUAAGUCGGAUGUGAAAUCCCUGAGCUUAACUUAGGAAUUGCAUUCGAUACUGGGAAGCUAGAGUAUGGGAGAGGAUGGUAGAAUUCCAGGUGUAGCGGUGAAAUGCGUAGAGAUCUGGAGGAAUACCGAUGGCGAAGGCAGCCAUCUGGCCUAAUACUGACGCUGAGGUACGAAAGCAUGGGGAGCAAACAGGAUUAGAUACCCGCGUAGUCCCUGUCUCUUAUAA